AUGGCAUCAUCAGCUGUCCUAAUGUUUGGGCUUGACCAGGUUAUGGACCUGAAUGUUUACCAAGGGACCAUUAAGUCCAUCUGGCCUGACCAACAAGGUGCAUCAUUUUACCACAUAUUUAGCAGGCGUGCUCUUUUUGUUGGAUAUGGCUACUUCUAUUCUAUGCAGUGGGUUGCAGCUAAUCUAAGUUGCAUAGAGGCCCAACGGAAUAUAUCUGGUUAUGCUUGUGUAAGUACCAACAGCAAGUGUGUAGCAGUAGAUGGUGAAUGGAGCUACAUUGGGUACCGCUGUAAAUGCUCGGAUGGUUUCCGAGGAAAUCCAUACACCCAAAGUGGUUGUCAAGAUAUUGAUGAAUGCCUUCAACCAAACAUUUGUAAAGGGAUAUGCCAUAAUAUUGAAGGAAGCUUCUAUUGUACUGAAUGUCCUCACAAGACCGAGUACGAUCUACACAAAAUGCAGUGUACAACAACAAAACAACAUAUUCUGCUUUCAGGUAAGACUAAGUCAUGGUUAUGUUUGAUAAAAAGGAUAAAAAGAAACUUACAGAGCUUAAUGCCUUCACGUAUUAUCAUUGGGUCAUCUGGUGGCUUCAGCAUUCUAGCUCUGAGUUUUGGUACAGUAUUUCUCAUUCGUAUAUGGAAAAGAAAUGUUCAACGACAACUACGGAAGAAUUAUUUUCGGAAUAACCAAGGUCUUCUCCUAGAAACAUUGAUAUCAUCUGAUGAAAGUGCAAAUGACAAAACAAAGAUUUUCUCAUUAGAAGAGCUAGAGAAAGCAACAGACAACUUUGAUACGGCCCGCAUCAUUGGCUCUGGGGGGCAUGGCAUGGUUUAUAAAGGCAUGUUAUCUGAUCAACGUGUGGUUGCAAUAAAAAAGUCCAAGGUCAUUAAAAAGGCUGAGAUCACUCAAUUCAUCAAUGAGGUCGCUAUCCUCUCACAAGUAAAUCAUAGAAACAUUGUGAAGCUCUUUGGGUGUUGUCUGGAAACUGAGGUUCCACUGCUCGUGUAUGAAUAUAUAUCUUGUGGCUCACUGUCUCAAGUCUUAAAUGCUGACUCAAGCACUAGUUUUUCUUUGUCCUGGGAUGAUUACUUAAGGAUUGCCACGGAAAUAGCAGGAGCACUAUCUUAUCUCCACUCAGCGGCUUCAAUAUCAAUCUUCCAUCGUGAUGUGAAAUCGUCAAACAUACUCCUGGAUGGGAACUACAGAGUUAAAGUUUCAGAUUUUGGUGCUUCUAGAUUGGUUCCAGUUGAUCAAACACACAUUGUUACAAAUGUGCAAGGUACAUUUGGGUACUUAGAUCCAGAGUACUUCCAUACCAGGCAGUUAAAUGAGAAGAGUGACGUGUAUAGUUUUGGUGUGGUACUAGUGGAGUUGCUUCUUAGAAUGAAGCCUAUCAUCAGGAGUGAAUCAGGCACAAUGCAGAACUUGUCACACUACUUUAUAAGGGCAUUGAACGAGGGAGGGAUCGCCGACAUACUGAACUCUGAAGUCCUUGAGGAAGCAACUAAGGAUGAGAUCAUCGAUGUUGCCAGUCUUGCAGAGUUGUGCUUAAGACUGCGUGGUGAAGAAAGACCCACCAUGAAACAAGUUGAGGUUGAGUUGCAGAUAUUACGAACAAGAAGGGCAAACUCAUGUCAAGCGAAUGUAAUAAAUGAAGAACAAACACAACCAAUGUUGUUAACUCGAGGAGUUAAAGUUGCUUUCCAGUCGUCAGCCACGUUAGUGGAUUGCAGAUACAACUUAGAGUCAAGAGACAGCCAAGGUUGCUACGACCUGCAGGAAGAGUUCAUGGCAUCAGCUAGUCUAGCACGCUAG
rnacentral:rRNA from 1 species